rnacentral:rRNA from 1 species
GUGGGGAAUAUUGGACAAUGGGGGGAACCCUGAUCCAGCCAUGCCGCGUGUGUGAAGAAGGCCUUUUGGUUGUAAAGCACUUUAAGCGAGGAGGAGGCUACCGAGAUUAAUACUCUUGGAUAGUGGACGUUACUCGCAGAAUAAGCACCGGCUAACUCUGUGCCAGCAGCCGCGGUAAUACAGAGGGUGCAAGCGUUAAUCGGAUUUACUGGGCGUAAAGCGCGCGUAGGUGGCCAAUUAAGUCAAAUGUGAAAUCCCCGAGCUUAACUUGGGAAUUGCAUUCGAUACUGGUUGGCUAGAGUAUGGGGGAGGAUGGUAGAAUUCCAGGUGUAGCGGUGAAAUGCGUAGAGAUCUGGAGGAAUACCGAUGGCGAAGGCAGCCAUCUGGCCUAAUACUGACACUGAGGUGCGAAAGCAUGGGGAGCAAACAGGAUUAGAAACCCGUGUAGUCC